ensembl:lncRNA
GGUGAAAAGCGCAGCAGGAAUGUAAUUAUAAGCUGUAGUUUUGUUACAAGAAUGCUGCUCCUCCCUUUUGCCAUAAUAAUGUAUGUUGAUUUUGCUUUCAUGUUUGAUUGUGCAAAUGACGAAGUCUGAAGUAAAAAAAGAAUUAAAGUUAAAACCAGUGUUUCCAACCCUCCCGGUCCCGCCCUAAGUUAUUAAAGUCAGAGAAGCUCUAACACCUCCAUCAUUUAUCCUAAACUCCUAGAACAUCUCACACACAGGUAACAAAAACUGCACGAUUAACAGAUACAUAAGCACAUAAAGAUCACGGAUGAGGAGUAAAUGGAUUUAUGUGGCUAUCCUGGGGAUAGCAUGCAUGAUGCUUGGAGUCAAUGGGAGCAAUACAACAAGCAGUAGCAACUCUACAGACAGCUGGAUAUCUUCUAACAUGACCACCAGCCUGACCCAGACGCUACCAACCAACAUGACCACCAACCUGACCCAGACACUACCACCCAACAUUACCACCAACCUGACCCAGACGAACCCACCCAGCAUGACCACCAACCUAAACCAGGUCGGUCCCUUCAACAUAACUUCAAACUUAACUCAAACAGGACCUCCCAACAUAAACCUUAACCUUACCCAGAUGGGUCCUCUCAACAUGACCACCAGCCUUACCCAGACUGGCCCUCUUAAUAUGACUACAAACCCAUCCCUGAUGGGCCCUCUCAACAUGACCACAAACCCCGACCAGUUAAGCCCUUUUAACAUGACCACAAACCCAACCCAGAUUGGUCCUCUCAACAUGACCACCAGCCUUACCCAGAUAGGCCCUCUUAAUAUGACUACAAACCUAUCCCUGAUAGGCCCUCUCAAUAUGACCACAAACCCGAACCAGAUGAGCCCUUUAAACACGACCACAGACCCCAACCAAAUGAACCCUUUUAACAUGACCACAAACCCAACCCAGAUGGGUCCUCAUAACAUAACCACCAGCCUUACCCAGACAGGCCCUCUUAAUAUGACUACAAACCUAUCCCAGAUGGGCCCUCUCAACAUGACCACAAACCCGAACCAGAUGAGCCCUUUUAAUAUGACCACAAACCCAACCCAGAUGGGCCCUUUCAACAUGACCGCUAACCUGACACAAACACACCCUUCCAACAUAACCACCAACCUGCCCCAAACACAAACUCCCAACAUAACCACCAACCUGACCCAGACAAACCCUCCCAACACAACCACCAACCUGACCCAGACACACCCUCCUAACAUAACCGCCAACCUGCCUCAAACACACCCUCCUAACACAACCACCAACCUGACCCAAACACACCCUCCCAACAUAAGCGCUAACCUGACCCAAACACACCCUCCCAACAUAACCGCUAUCCUGCCCCAAACAUACCCUCCCAACAUAACCACCAACCUGACCCAGACAAACCCUCCAAACAUAACCACCAACCUGACCCAGACACACCCUCCCAACAUAACCGCCAACCUGACCCAGACACACCCUCCCAACAUAACCGCAACCUGACCCAGACAAACCCUCCAAACAUAACCGCUAACCUGACCCAGACAAACCCUCCAAACAUAACCGCUAACCUGACCCAGACAAGGCCUCCCAAUAUUACCACAAACCCGAUCCAGACAGGCCCCCUCACCAUAACAAAUAUUAUAACAACAUCAGGCUCUAAUACUCUGUCACCAGACAUCACUGGCAGGGAUAACUGCAAGAGGGAUAGGGCAUGUUUCUCCGCUCCACCUUCCUGUAAUCCAGGUGCAGAAGGUUCCUGCUAUUUUCUUUCCACAAGAGGAGUAAGCGGAAAUGCAGAUAAUUUUACUUUUGAGCUGAGUGGCGAGACAGAUGGUUACAUUGGAGCUGGCCUCUCUCGAGACAGCAGUGGUCAAGGUGCCACCGUCUAUUCUUGUGCCAAAUUCAAUGGUGCACUGAGGUUAAUUCGUUCCACACUGAACAAUCAAAUAUUGAUGCAGGAUAAUACAUUUAUCCCUGGAAGCUUCCAAGGCUCAGUCAUUGGUAGAAAGAUUCAAUGCAUUUUCAAUGCUGCAGGUCUCAGCAGCACCACCCGUUCUGCAACCACAGACACUUUUGUCUUCCUUGUAACAGGCAGCAUAUUAAAUGGUUCUCUGGAUUAUCCAGUCAGUAGACUGACCACAAAUGGGGCAGUGGACUUAAGCAACCCCAACAGCACAGACGUUUCAGUAAUAACACCCAGUACAAAUGCCACUGCAUCUAAUACCACAGCAACAUCAACCACCACUGCAGCAUCUACAAACUUGACCCAGACGAUACUUCCCAACAUAACCGUCAACCUGACCCAGACAAACCCUACCAACAUAACCGCCAACCUGACCCAGACAAACCCUCCCAACAUAACCGCCAACCUGACCCAGACACACCCUCCCAACAUAACCGCCAACCUGACCCAGACAAACCCUCCCAACAUAACCGUCAACCUGACCCAGGCAAACCCUCCCAACAUAACCGCCAACCUGACCCAGACAAACCCUCCCAACAUAACCUCUAACCUGACCCAGACAAGGCCUCCCAAUAUUACCACAAACCCGACCCAGACAGGCCCCCUCACCAUAUCAAAUAUUAUAACAACAUCAGGCUCUAAUACUCUGUCACCAGACAUCACUGGCAGGGAUAACUGCAGGAGGGAUAGGGCAUGUUUCUCCGCUCCACCUUCCUGUAAUCCAGGUGCAGAAGGUUCCUGCUAUUUUCUUUCCACAAGAGGAGUAAGCGGAAAUGCAGAUAAUUUUACUUUUGAGCUGAGUGGCGAGACAGAUGGUUACAUUGGAGCUGGCCUCUCUCGAGACAGCAGUGGUCAAGGUGCCACCGUCUAUUCUUGUGCCAAAUUCAAUGGUGCACUGAGGUUAAUUCGUUCCACACUAAACAAUCAAAUAUUGAUGCAGGAUAAUACGUUUAUCCCUGGAAGCUUCCGAGGCUCAGUCAUUGGUAGAAAGAUUCAAUGCAUUUUCAAUGCUGCAGGUCUCAGCAGCACCACCCGUUCUGCAACCACAGACACUUUUGUCUUCCUUUUAACAGGCAGCAUAUCAAAUGGUUCUCUGGAUUCUCCAGUCAGUAGACUGACCACAAAUGGGUCAGUGGACUUAAGCAACCCCAACAGCACAGACGUUUCAGUAAUAACACCCAGUACAAAUGCCACUGCAUCUAAUACCACAGCAACAUCAACCACCACUGCAGCAUCUACAAACUUGACCCAGACGGUAUUUCCCAACAUAACCGCCAACCUGACCCAGACAAACCCUCCCAACAUUACCGCCAACCUGACCCAGACACACCCUCCCAACAUAACCGCCAACCUGACCCAGACACACCCUCCCAACAUAACCGCCAACCUGUCCCAGACAAACCCUCCCAACAUAACCGCCAACCUGACCCAGACAAACCCUCCCAACAUAACCGCCAACCUGACCCAGACAAACCCUCCCAACAUAACCGCCAACCUGACCCAGACAAACCCUCCCAACAUAACCGCCAACCUGACCCAGACAAACCCUCCCAACAUAACCGUCAACCUGACCCAGACACACCCUCCCAACAUAACCGCCAACCUGACCCAGACACACCCUCCCAACAUAACCGCCAACCUGACCCAGACACACCCUCCCAACAUAACCGCCAACCUGACCCAGACAAACCCUCCCAACAUAACCGCCAACCUGACCCAGACAAACCCUCCCAACAUAACCGCCAACCAGACUCAAACACGCCCUUCCACCGUGAUUGCUAACCUGACUGCGACACCAUCAGGCUCUAAUACCUUGAACAACAGCAACGUCAAUAAUCUAUCACUAGAUAUCACUGGCAGGGAUAACUGCAGGAGGGAUAGAGCAUGUUUCUCUGCUCCACCUACUUGUAAUCCAGGUGCACAAGAUUCCUGUUAUUUCCUAUCUGCAAAAGGAGUAAGCGGAAGUGCAGAUAAUUUUACCUUUGAACUCAGUGGCGAGUCAGAUGGUUACAUUGGAGCUGGCCUCUCUCGAGACAACAGUGGUCAAGGAGCCACUGUCUAUUCUUGCGCCAACAUCAAUGGUGCACUGAAGUUCUUCCGUUCCACACUGAACAAUCAAAGACUGGCUCAGGAUAACACUUUCAUCCCUGGAAGUUUCCGUGGUUCGGUGAAUAGAGGAAAGAUUCAGUGCAUUUUCAAUGCUGCAGGUCUCGGCAGCAUCACUCGUGCGGCAACCACAGACACUUAUGUCUUCUUUUUAACAGGCAGUGUCUCAAAUGGCUCUCUGGAUUCUCCAGUCACUAGACUGACUACAAAUGGGUCAGUGGACUUAAGCAACCCUAACAGCACAGAUGUUUCAGUAAUAACACCCAGUACAAAUGCCACCACAACAGCCCCGAACAUCACCACAUCUAGUUCCUCUUUAGCAUUAAACACCACUACAGCCCCGAACACCACCGCAUCUAAUUCCACUGCAUCCUCAAAUACUACUGCAUCAUCAAAUGCCACUGCAUCUAAUGCCUCUGGAUUAUCUACAGCUAAUAAUGUUACAACAAAUGAUAAGGUCACCAAGGACAACUGUAAAAAGGACAGGGCAUGUUUCUCCACUCCAGCCAACUGUGAUCCAUCAAGCUCAAGUAGCUGCAUUUUUGCCUCCACAAGAGUGGUGAACGGAAACUUAGACAAUCUCACUUUUGAGCUCAGUGGGGAUUCAAAUGGUUACAUCGCAGUUGGCCUGUCUCGAGACAAGAAGGAGGGUGAUGAUGACACUGUCUACUCUUGUGCCAAUGACAAUGGUGUGGCGAAGUUCAUUCGUGCCACUCUGAACAACAACAUUCUGACUCCAGAUAAGACUUUUAACCCUGGAUCCUUCCGUGGCUCUGUGAACGGCACAAGGAUUCAGUGCAUUUUUGUAGCUGCAGGUCUCAGCAGCAACGCCCGUGCGGCAAACACAAAUGCUUUCCUCUAUUUCUUCACUGGCAACUUUACAAAUGGCACUUUAGGGUCUCCAGUCACACGAAUGUUUACAAAUUCAUUGGUUGAUCUAACCAACACUAGCAGCUCAGACGUUGCCAUAAUAACACCCACUACAAGCACAGAUAAUACUACCACUAUUACGACUACUACAGCAAAACCUGCUACUACAGCAGGGAGCAAUGCACUGCAUCAUGCUGCAUCUCAGGCUGCUCUGGUAAUUCUCUCAGGGAUCCUUGCAGUGCUCCUGUUGUAAGGAUUCUGCCAACACAUUUGCUUUCUGAAACUGGUCGAUGAGCACUGAACGCUUGAUGAACCCAACACCAAAGUAUAUGUAAUUCAGCAUAUUUAUAACUGUGCAAUAAUGCGACUCUGGGAACAAUGAAGAAAGAAGCAGAAAAUAUGGGGAAGAGGGCAUUACAUUAUUUAUUUAAUCUUAGUGUUUGUGUGUGAGAGAUUGUGUUUAUGAAUGUUUUUGCGAGCGUUAGUGUUUGUAUUCUGCUAAUGUACUGCUAUUUAAAAUCAGGCUCCUGCACAGAGAGGGCUGAUGAAAAUUAAAAUCAGUAUAUUAAUAUAAUUGUGCAAGUGUGAGCCAUCAUGUGGCUAAAAUGAUCUAAGAUAAUUGUUUUCAAAUGUCUUAAUUUAUUGUUACUGUUGCCUCAAACCAUUGAUUUCCUGUAAGUUAUAAAUAUAGUCUUUUUUUUUUAAUAUGCAUAAUAAAAUGUUCAAGUAAAAAAAAUGAAACUGGUAGAUCAGUGUUUGGACUAAAGGUUAAAGUGGCAAAGAACAAACUAAAUGCAAACAGCAUGCAUAGUCAGGAUAGUAAAUUAGUGAAACACUUCCCAUAUUGUUGAUCAAAGUCUGCACAUGCAAUCAAGCACUACGGUUUUUCACAAGACAUUUGUGACACUUGGUAGAAGUCGAAUUAGACGCAACAUGGACAGGUUAUGUAGCAUUCUCAUGCACAAAAACUAUGAACAAAACCACCCACCAAUCAAACGUGUUUAUUUUUAAAUAAUUAAUCAUCUUAGUACUGUGUUGGGUCACCAAAUUGUGGACAGAUAAAGUGCUUAAUAUUCAAAUCACUUCAAAGGCAAUGCAAUAGAUUAAUGAUAUUUUAAAUCUGUUUGAUUUUUGUCUUUGCAUUACAAAAUGAUGCAGAAGCAACAAUCUGUUUUCUACUAACCUUUACUGAUUAAAAAAAUGGUGUAGAAACAAUUCUUACUAAGAAAUUGGUAGUAAAUUUUACAUUUAAUUAUGAAGUAACAGUGAAUUAAACAAUACAUUUUGAAGUAGAAAGACUGUAAUAGUAUUUUGUUUUUUACUCUUUUAAAAUUGUUUAACUUUAUUUUUUUUUUACAGUGUUCUAUUUUGAUAAGGAGUGUUUUGUACACGUUAUAAAAUAACUCAAAAUACAGAUGCUCUACAGAAGAGAAUAGGACAAUCAUAGUUUAAUACCAACAAACAUCUUAGAUUUACAUAUGGGUAGAUAUGUACUGAAGGCUUAAAUAUUCAAUUGUAAAUAUCCUUUAUUAUUCUUAUUUUGAUUUUGUUUUUGUCAAAUAUCUGAAUAUUUUAUCUUCUGAACACUUACAUUAAAAAUACACAAAGUACUUAAGUACUUGUACUGUAAAAACCUUUGUGGGUUAAUAAAUCCAAGUGGAUCAGCUUAAAAGUUUA